rnacentral:rRNA from 1 species
UACGUAGGUGGCAAGCGUUGUCCGGAUUUAUUGGGUUUAAAGGGCGCGUAGGCGGCCCGCUAAGUCGAACGUGAAAUCCCCGAGCUCAACUCGGGAACUGCGUCCGAUACUGGCGGGCUUGAAUCCGGGAGAGGGAGCGGAAUUCCAGGUGUAGCGGUGAAAUGACGUAGAUAUCUGGAGGAACACCGGUGGCGAAGGCGGCAUCCUGGACCGGCAUUGACGCUGAGGCGCGAAAGCUAGGGGAGCAAACGGG